rnacentral:lncRNA from 1 species
GAAGGGUCAAACUCAAGAAAAUAAGAGAGAGUUGUGUUGGUGGUCGUUUUUCAGGAGUCCUGAAUAAGUGGGUUAUCUCAGCUUUGGGCCCAUAUCUCGUGUAUGGAUCAACAGCUAGUGGAGGAAGACGGGGUGCCUUGCUAGUAGGUGCUUCUGGAAGAUCUAAUUCAAGAUGGCCAAGUGGCCGUAAGAAAGAGUUCUCCUGAAACAAUACACAUUUUUUUCUCAGAUUGCCAAUAUAAUUGGGAAAGGGGAAAUUAAGCUGAGCAAACACUUCAAGAUACCAUGACAGCAUCACCAACAGUCAGCUCAAUGUCAUAUCUGCCAGAGAGAUAGUAAAAUUUCUCCACCAAGCCAAGAAAAUCCUAAAAAGCCAAAAUUACAAACAUCAGUAGAACAUUAAACAUGAUGUACUGUUAAACCAGAAUGAAAUUACUCCUGCAGCCUUCACCAAAACAUAAGUGUAACAAUUAAAUAUCCCACAUCAAGAGCAGUCAGGACAUUCAAUUUAUAUUAUAAUUACACAUAGUUUGUACUUAAUAGAUAGAGUAAAGUAUUGUUUUUGUCCUCAAUGUUUGGAGUAAGUCUCAAAGUUGUCCCUAACGUUUCAAUCGUCCUAUUUAAGUUCCUAACGUUUCAAAAUUGGCUCAAUAUUGUCCUGCCAUUAGGGAUCCGUUAACAGAAUUGACGGCGGGACAAAAUUGAGACGAUUUUGAAACGUUAAGGAUUUAAAUAGAACGGAAACGUUGGGGAUAAAAACAAUAUAUAGAAAUAAAUUUUAAUUUUAUCCUUCAAUAAUAUCAAUUUUUUACUGUACAUAAUAUUCAAUUAUUUUUUAAUCACAUCUAAGUAAAUUACACUUAAUCACAUUACUUUCAUUCUAAAUAAAUUUUUUUAUAUUUUUAUAUUAACUUAUAACUUUAAGUGUAAAAUUAUAAAAAAAUAUUUAUUUAGAAUGAAAGUAAUGUGAUUAAGUUUAAUUUACUUAGAUGUGAUUAAAAAAUAAUUGAAUAUUAUGUACAGUAAAAAAAUGAUAUUAUUGAAGGAUAAAACUAAAAUUUAUUUCUAUGUAUGGUUUUCGUCCCCAACGUUUUCUUCCUAUUUAAGUCCCUAACGUUUCAAAAUCGUCUCAAUUUCGUCCCGCCAUCAAUUCUAUUAACGGAUCCCUAACGGCAGGACAACAUUGAGUUAAUUUUGAAACAUUAGAGACUUAAAUAGGACGAUUGAAACGAUAGGGACAACUUUAGGACUUACCUCAAACGUUGGGGACAAAAACGAUACUUUACUCUAAUAGAUAAAUGAGCCAGCUCGACUGGAAGAAAUUGGAGGUGCAUUAUAUAAAAACCAGCACAUAACUUUUCUGCUCAAUGAUGCAAUUGGGUUUUUAUGAUUUUAAGUGAUAGGCACAACCGCACAAGAACAAAUAAUCAAAAUUCAGCAUCUGUUAAUAUCUAUCUAAUAUGAAUUAUAACAAAUUCAAUGAGUACUGAAGAAGAGACAUUUGAAGCUAGGUAAUGAAAUAUGUAAUAUGUAAUAAGAGAUACUUAACAAGAACAAUCUCGAAUUUCUUGCCAGCAUUUCCAACAACAAAGAUGUGCUCAUACUUUGUCUCAUGUUUCAACUUGAGAAAUGCCUGAAAAACAAUUAAUCCUCAAUGAACAAAGCAUUUAAGUAAAACUAAAUAGGGUCUAACUGUCUAAGUCAACAACUCAAACCUGAUGAGGCUUAAAUGCAUGACCACGAGGGGUUGUCAAUUGGAAAGAAAAACGGAAUUUUUGCAGGUGGUUAGCUGAGAGCGAAACAAUGUCAUUUCCAGCCAAAUCUAGCCUGGAUAGCAAAGUGGGAGUAUAAAAUGAAGCAACAAAAAGUUUAUGCAAAAGAAUUAUAAAUCAAAUUUCAAAACUCAGAUUAAAUUCAGAUGUAUUAAGUUUAGACUUAACAUCACAAAAAGAAAAGGAAGUUUAUAUUAAACACAAUACAACAUGACAAGCAUAUUAAAAUUAGACAUACCAACCAACUAUCAGCAUACUCAUACAUCCUAAAUGUAACAGCAUAAAUCUUUUUAAAAAUCCAAAAUAGAAACCUACGUUUUCUGGGUUUCAAUACUUCCAAGAUCAUUGUCCAGAACUGCAAUUUCUGCAUUGCUAACUUUAACAAUGCCAGUGACAUAUAUUGGCACAUGAAUUUGGCCUCCGGUAGCAUAGACUUUUUCUCCGUCAGCAUCAUGAAGCACCAUCUACAAGAUAGGCUCAAAGUAAUUUAAUUGUGAGGCAGAAUAGAAAUACACAUUGAUCCCAACUGAAAGGAAAACUAAACUGUAAACAAACAAACAGCAUUACCUCAAAAACAAACACAUAAAUACCCACAUCCACUUUAUCUGGUAAAACGUCCAAUACAUGAUGUCCGCUAUUCUGGUCAUAUUUGAGGUCCUGUAUCAUGCAAAUUUAGCAAAAUCCAAAGUUUCAGACGAUGCGAAGUCAAACGCAGAGAAAACAAAUCAUUGACUCAUCACUUACCUUGUUCUGAAUAACAGCCGAAUCUUUAGCAACAGUGCUGAAAGCCCGGACAAGCUUAACUGUUAAAGGAGGUGCAGCUGAACCAAGCACUGUAUUCACCCUAACCUGAUUAAGUUCAAAGUACAAUAGAAAGUUGUCAUUUUCUCCAACAGUAAAUGAGAAGUAGAAACACCAUACAAUCAUGAAGUUGAUAAAUAAUUUAACAUAACCAACUGAGUCAUAAGUUGAAAAUGUUGUACAGCAUGCAUAUAAACCAACAAGCAACAAAUAGGAGAAAACGGCAGAAGGGGGAGGUCCUCAAGCUCCAUAUCAGAAAAACAGGAAAUGACACAGGAAAGCAUAGCCUAAAUAAUUUAAGGAACUCAUCGGAGAUGAAACCACUGAAAAUUAGUAGUAGUAGCCUACGUAUGGAUUUGACACAUCAACAACAGAAUCGUGGCAGAAGAUGGCUUACAGGAUGUUCAUGGCCCAAAAUGCAUAUACACCAAAGGGUUACAGGCUAUUUUCUCCUUUAUACAACAACAAUAACAACAACAACAACAACAACAAAACCUUAUCAUCCCACUAGAUGGGGUCAACUAUAUGAAUCAAACGAUGCCAUUGUGCCCUAUCAUGUAUCAUGUCUAAGCAUUAGAAAAGAAACCCAAUGAAAGCCAGAAACAAAAGUUGUUCAUGCCAAUUUCAAAUAGCUACUGGAUACGAUACUUCCCGAAAAGGGACUUUUCAACUUUAUACCUUGAGUUGAUCUUUAUUUGAUAAUGAAUAAACACUUGCAGGAAGUGACAAUAUCAACGGAAUGGAAAUCCUGCACCACAAGAAGAAAGCUAAGAAAUAUACAUUUUUUAAAGAAUAUUGACGAGGUCAGUGUAUCAGCAAAGAACCAAAACAGAAGAAAAAAGGAGAGAUGUCUCUGUAAAGCUGCACUUUACAACAAUAUGUUGUUCUUGGAAAACAACUUGCCUGUUGCUCUCUAGAAGAGCUAAUGAUUCUAUUUGAUUGAAUAAGUCCUUCGCAUCUCCUGGGAUUCCAAUGCCCAGAAAAAAUUUUGCUAAGCCCAAUAUUUUAUCACCUGGAAGCUGGAAGUGCAAAGCCAAAACGUUAGUAGAAAAUUCUAACAGACUAAAAAUUAGAGAGUAGUCCUUUACAAUCCACAUACAUUUAUUUUUCCAGAAGUUACAGCAGCAAAUGCGAAAACCCCACGAACAACUGAAGAAGUUGUGGAAAUAGAACCUUGAUGCUCAUGUCCACCAACCAGUUUCUCAUCAAAAUAAAAAGUUCCAUCAUCUGAAGUGUUAAUGCAUUCAUCAAAAACUAUUGUGACGAAGAAUGUAAUAGAAAGUAGAGCCAUUUAACAUACAAAGUCUUUGGACAGAAGAAUUAUUAGGGAGGAUGGGCAUAACAUAACAGUGUGCAAGUGGCACAAGAGUUUUCAAGCCAAUUAUAUCAUUUGAGGUCAAAUGGUAUUCCACAGUUCUGCAGUGCACCAAGACAAACGUGAAACAAUUUUAUCCAUUCUCUACCCUAUGAGAGAUAUACAACUUGACUGCCACAACAAACGGGACUCGAGAAUCAAGUAUUCUGGAGAGGUAAAUAAUCUGUCUCUGUGUAACUCUUCAUAGAAGUAGGACAUUAAGUUGAUCAACAGUGAUCAUUAAUAACAAGUUCCCGUCACAUGCAACAGGUAAAAAGAAAAGGGUAACCUAAAUGAAACCAUUAAGAAAAUAUGUAAAGUAUCAAAUACAGGUUUACAGUCAAUAUUGUUAAGAAUUAAAAGCAUAAAAAUCUUACCGUGUAUAGGACAUAAAAAUUAAAGAAUGAGGAACGUAAUGAACGUCCGCGAUUCGGUUUCACUACCUUUUACCGCGAUAUGACUAUUUGGUCUUAGAUCAUGAAUACGACGUCCAUUACGGAAUACGAGAAUACAACCUUAUACAAAAUAAAAUAACAAAGAAAUAUACGUAUCAUCAAAGUCGAAACAUUGAUCUUAAAAUUAAGGUAUUUUGUAACGACAAAUGGAUAACAAUCAGUCACUAUUACAUUCGAUAAGCACAAUAUGUGUCCUAACCGAGAUCUUCGUGACCGACCUCACUAGUGUAAUCGCAGAAGACUCUAACUAGUCAGAUCCCAUUUCAAAAACUAGACUUUAACCAACGAACUGAACGAAGUGUUUGAAAUUUCGAACAAUUUAACUUUCAUAAAGGAUGUAACUCAUCUUUAAGUACAUCUACAUUAAUAAAGGCAAUAAUGUUACAAGACAUUCUAAAGAGGGAUCUUUAAAACAGUAAAAUUAAUGUUGGAUUACUAUUUCGUGGUCGUUCCUUGACAAUUUAUUUUUACUUAAGUUCACCAUCCCGUUUCACUUUUGAGGUUGACUUCAUGAGGUAAAACCUUUAACGUUACAUGAAAUUAGAUUAUGAUUUGAGCGGUCACAAUAUUACAAUACUCUUAAAUAGACAAAACGAAAACGAAAAUAAUACAUAGAACGUUUGUAUAUAACGGAGCCGUAGGAACUUGGACAUAGUUAUAGAAUAUAAUCGAGGUAUAACAGUCCAGUUAAAUCACUUUUUACUAUAUGACUUCGAAAAACUGUCGUAACUUUUUAUACCAUACAUAUUCAAACGAAAAUGGAAUUAGAACAAAUCUAAAACCUCCGUUAAUUACGAGAAAAUAUUAAAAUCUUAAGGGAUGGGACCUACAUCGUCGUUAACACGGGAAAUCAUCUCAAAUAAGAAAACAUUUACGAUCUAAAUAUAAUAGAAGGUAUAGUCACUAAAAGCAAAACCAAAGUAAUGUAAAACAAAGUAAAAACCAAGAGACGACGGGGGGGGGGGGAGGAGGGGGGUUAAGUCGCAUUUACAACUGAUGUAACGCUAAAUAAUNNNNNNNNNNNNNNNNNNNNNNNNNAAAUUAUUGGUAACUGAGAUAUUAGCAUUAAAGUAACAGAAGAAACAACUAACAUUUCUAGUUUCUAGCUAAUUUUAUUGUGUUUUCCUUUUCCACCUCCCAUAUUUUUUUCAAUUAUCAUCACCAUAUUAAUAUUGAAAGGGAUAAAGAUACAUGUGUACCACUCUCUACUCAAGAUAAACAUAAGACUUACCCCAACCAAAAAGCCAAUUAAGGGCAGAAGGGUCAAACUCAAGAAAAUAAGAGAGAGUUGUGUUGGUGGUCGUUUUUCAGGAGUCCUGAAUAAGUGGGUUAUCUCAGCUUUGGGCCCAUAUCUCGUGUAUGGAUCAACAGCUAGUGGAGGAAGACGGGGUGCCUUGCUAGUAGGUGCUUCUGGAAGAUCUAAUUCAAGAUGGCCAAGUGGCCGUAAGAAAGAGUUCUCCUGAAACAAUACACAUUUUUUUCUCAGAUUGCCAAUAUAAUUGGGAAAGGGGAAAUUAAGCUGAGC